rnacentral:rRNA from 1 species
UCGAGAAUAAUUCACAAUGGGGGCAACCCUGAUGGUGCAACGCCGCGUGGAGGAUGAAGGUCUUCGGAUUGUAAACUCCUGUCAUCCGGGAGUAAGACCUGGCGAUGAAUAGUCGACAGGGUUGAUAGUACCGGAAGAGGAAGGGACGGCUAACUUCGUGCCAGCAGCCGCGGUAAUACGAAGGUCCCGAGCGUUGUUCGGAAUCACUGGGCGUAAAGGGAGCGUAGGCGGCGCGGCAAGUCAGAUGUGAAAUCCCGGGGCUCAACCCCGGAACUGCAUCCGAUACUGCCGUGCUUAGAGGGUUGGAGAGGUAGCUGGAAUUCUUGGUGUAGCAGUGAAAUGCGUGGAUAUCAAGAGGAACACUCGUGGCGAAAGCGAGCUACUGGACAACACCUGACGC